UGCAUAAUAUUACCAAAAGAAACUAUUUGCACAUAGAUUUUGUUAUCUGGUGACAUUUAGUUGAUAACGUCAUCAGUUUGUUGUAGGAGUAACAUUAUUGGAUAAAAGUUAAAUUGGAAUCAUAUGUGUGUGCCCGCGUGUAUGUGUGUGUGUUGGUGCGCUAGCUAGCUCCGUUUGGAGAAGCCUGUCACUUGUUUUUCUCUUGCUAGCUAAAUGGGUUAUGGGUUACCAAGUACUGAAGCGGGCAGAGGUGAAAGAAAACACAACAACAGAUUUUUUGUCAGGAUAAAUACAGAGCAGAGUAAGUGUGCUUCCAAGGUUCAGGUGAGCAGAAGGACUAGCAAGAUGGUCCAAUGAAAGAAUGAGUCCCUCAAUCCACAUGUGGCAUCGUUCAUCAGGGACUUCAUUGAGUAUGACUGGCAGAACAACUGAUACCAGGGAAGAAGACUCCAGCCCAGGAAGAAGUAUCCAGUUCAGGAAGAAGUAUCCACUCAGGAAGCAGAAUCCAGUUCAGGAACAAUAAAGUCUUAGACAUUUUAUUGUUUAAAAUUAUACAGUUUUUGGUUCAUAUUUAAUUUGUGUUUUUAUACAUUUCCACUUUUAACUGAACAUUUAAUUGCUUCCAGUGCUCGGAUUUUACUGUUUUGUUUGUAAAAAUUACUUGAAAAUAUCUUGUGUGACAGUGUUUUCUACAAAGUGAUGUUUUUGUGUUUUUUCACACUGAAUCAACAUAACUAGGAUAUAUGUGACUGUCAGCGAGUCUCAGAAAGCAAAUGUAAAACAAUAGAGGACUUGCACACAUCUUUAUGAUUAUCCUUCCCUUUGUUUUUUCUUUUUCUUCAUUUUAUAUUUGUCUCUAGAAGUACAGUCAAAUUAACUAAAAGUCCUCAAACAAUAAAUCAAUCAUUUUAAAACUCUCUAAAUAUACAUGAAAGAUUAACAAAAGAAUUUCAGGCCAUGCAAUUUACAUUGUCGAGGUAACUGGAACAAAGAGCAAGGAUAUGUAUGUUCAGGAAAGUAGUG